rnacentral:misc_RNA from 1 species
CUCCUCUUUUGUUUGUUUCGAUUAUCUGUUUGCAUUGUAACCUAUGUUAGAAAUGCCAAAAGGGACACAGACAUGCUUCUCCAUGGCAACAAUCUGAUUAACAGCAACAGGUUGUUCCUCAAAUAUUCUAGCAACAAUUAUUUGGACAUAUAAUGCAGACACAACAUGUAAUGAAAUUUUAUUAAUAAUAUAACUAUUAAGUGACAAAAGCAGCGCACUUCAGAGCAUCAUCACCCACAGUUUUUGAUUGUGUAGUUUUGCAGAUUACUACAAUGGUCCACACUCAAAAACAAGAUGAAUCAUUGCUGUUUAUGGUGUGCCUUAGCCGCCAUUGCUUAUGAAAUCAAUGUGGCAUUUAAAGUGUCUUACUGUUCAUAUUAGUGAUUAGUCAAUACCAGAACUUUUUCCUUCGCGUUUUGAAAAAAAAAAUCACUUGCAACAUAAACACAGAAAAGAUUUAAAAAAAACUCCCAAUAAUUUACAAUACCAUAAAAAAAGGGAUAAAACUAUUAGAUAAAUUAUUUUGUUUAAGAACUGCUAGCUGCAGUUGCUAUCCCUGUCAUGAUUUUGCUCUUAAGUCUCACCACUAUGAGAGCAUGAGUGCAUCCCACUGCAUUACAUGGAUCAAUGAGAGGUGUUGGUGCUAGUCAUUACUGGUAGCAUUGCAAAUACAACUUUAAGACAGUGAAAAUAUAUGUGAUUUCAUCAAAUUGAAUCCUUAGCACAAAACUUAAGGAUGAAAACCACAUUCGAAUGUCCCAUUCAAAAUCUGGCAUCACAAACUCCUUAUAAAAGCUUGGAUCACAAACUCGCCAAAACUUGGACUGUUAAAUUGUAUAAAUUCUAUUUUAGCACGCUUUUUUGAAUGUUGACUCAAACAAGUCAGGAGCCUUUUUGCAGUUUUACAACCUUCAAAUAAAACCAAAGGGGCCAGAGCAAUGCAUAAUGGUUUCUUCAACAUGAUUGCUUAAUUUGGUGGUUUUAAAUCCUAGUUUUACUUUGAUAAUGUCCAUAUACUUAAAACAUAAACACUCAAAAUGAAAAAACUUGGGCCUGAUUUUCUAGUAAUUUUGGUGAAGAUUCAAAUCAAGCGAAGAGGAUCCAGUGAAAAUUGUAUAACUCAAAAACCAAAGGCCUCAUAACCAAAAUUGUUAAAGUUUUAUGAUUGACAACAAGAGCCAUAUAAAUCUUAACUGAUUAGAAUACAGUUCUAAUAGUUUGUGAAAGAAAAUCUUCAAUGAUGUCCAUAUACUUAACUGAUGAAGUAACAAAAGCAAAAGCAGUUGGUAGUACACAGGAUUACGGCUAUUACACUUAAAAUUAUGAUUCAGACAAAUAACAUCUCAAGAAAUUUCUGCAUCAGAAUUAAAAAGUAAUGGUUUUCACUGUUCAAAUUUUUUAUUUGUUUCAACUAAAUGGCCGUACACAACACAAAACCAGCAGAAGAAUUAACUAAUAGAAUGAACAGGUUAAUUAUGGCUAACAGUUAUACUGACAACUUUAGAAUAAAGCCUCUAUGUUAAAUGAAGCAUAGUACUUGUAUCAUUUUUAUAUCAGAUAAGACUUCUAUAAGAAUUAUAUGCAUCUAACAGUCACUUUAAAGCACAGUAUUUCAAAUAACUACAACUAUUACUACUACUUUAAAGACAGUCCAAAGCACUUCCAAGAACGUCUGAAAUAUAUUUAAGAGGCAUGAGGGGUUUUUCUUAUAGGCUGGCAGAUGACUAAGUAGAAGAUCAAAAUAAUCAGGGAAAAUCACGCUCUCUCUGAGAUCAGUAUAGCAUCUCAUGGAUUAAAUAUGCUCAUACAAUCUAUAGAAAAUGCUAUGACAAUGAAUUCUAAGAUACCCACUGCUUAAUGCUUUAUGGAAUGGGUUUUGAAGCACACAGCUAAUUUUAAAAGAGUUUCCAGAGGACAGCACUGCCUCACAGUCCAAAAUUUAUUACUGACUACAUUAGCAUUUGUGCAUGGGGCUCAAAGUCAUGCCUCAUUUACUUGAAUUGACAACUAUCAAAUUGUGAUACUUGACCUAAGUAUAUGAGCAAAUUCUCUUGAAUGAAAAUCAAGAUAGUUGGGCAUCAAUGUAUUCCCCCAAAACUAUCUGGUGUCUGUAUUCAAACCAAAUCAGAAAUGCACUGGUAAAGGUAUAGAUCUAUGUGGAGCCUUUUACACAAUUUUACCUUGAAACUCCCUGGGCUUUUAUUCAUUUAUUUGUUACCUUAAGCUCUGUGGCAAUUUUUUCACCAAUUUUUAUGAAAAUGCUCCAGGUAAAAAGGUUUACUGUAUCCAACUCACAAUGAAAAUCCACUAAAGGUAAAGCAACAAAAACAUAUUCCAUAAGCUAAAAUCAGUUGUAGUUAAGCUCAAGUUUUCACACAAGAAACAAUAAUCUCAUCAAUCAUAACUUUCAAGACAAAAUGAAUACAUAAAAAACUUCAUUAAUAUGAAAUUCUUAAAUAUUUUUUUGAGGCCAAGCACAGCACGAGACGACCUAUUAUAGUGAUGUGCCAGAACAAGAUGACAAAGCAUGGGGUGAUGAAAUCCCUCGAACAUGGCAGGGUAGGUCAUGCAUUACAUCCAUGAGUCAGAUCCACUGACAUAGUUCCAGCUCAUGUGAAUUUUUUUAGUAUUUUAAAUUUUUUGGCAGAGGAGAGAAGAAAAGAUUUCCAAAAAUAAAAUUCUCAUCUAUUGAUAGCCUUGGAACAAACUAACAUACAAAAAUGAUUGCACAGAAAAUUCAAUUUGAAUAUAGUACAUUACCAUUCACUAUUAUAUCAUUAGUCGUGAAAAUUUAUGAAUUAUAUGUUAAGGUAGAACUUUAACCUCUAAAGGGAAAAAAUCACAUUUGACACAGUAAAUGCAAGAGAAAAAGGACAUAACUUCUAAAAGAAAAAACAAAAGAAUAUACUUGUAAGGUUGACAACCAUGCAUUGCAAAAUGGUCAACUCUUUCUUCUCAAUUAACCGAAUCUUGAAUGCAGUCAUGUCCCAAACAUUUGAGUUAAUAGUUGCAUGUUGACCUGGAAAAACAUUAAUCUUUGAUGCUAUUGUUGCCAUCAGUGGGUUAAGUUUAUCAUGUGCCAUGACAGUAAGCACAAGAAUUUAUUUUCUUUUGUUUAUCCUUUUGGUGCAAGCACAAAUGGACUUGGACAAGGGUUUCAGCAAAUUGAAGUUAUAAGUGAUAAGAAGUGAUAGGUAGACUUAAGAUGAUGAUGAUGUGGGGGGCACUAAUAAGAAAUGAUUUAGCAGCUUUAGAUCUUUCUGAAAAUAUAACCUUAUAUCAAUUGGAACAAUACACCUGACCUAAGGUUUAGUAGAGUUGAGUUAUCUUUUAGAAGUAAACCCUUCUCUCUUUAUAAUUAACAUGUCAAAUGUGAUUUUUUUUUCUUCUUUGAGAUUAACAUUCUACCUCAAUAUUACAUAUUCACAAAUAAUAACUUAUAAGUGAAUAGUGAUGAUUGAACUUUUUAUGUAUCAUUUUUGUGCAAGCAUUUUGUUCCAAGACUAUUAAUAAAAGAGAAGGUUCAACUUCAUUUUCAGAAUUCUUUUCUUCCCCCUUUGCUAAAAAGACUUUUGCAGGCCAGCCCACGAGCCGCUACUGUGCCAACCAAACACUAUAAAGUAGGUCUUGGUCCAUGCCAGCAUGUCACGGAUGAGGGUGCCACUCAACUAUGACAUACCAGCAUAUCCUGCCACUGCAUAGCAUCAUGCCUCUAAAUGUGG